GGGGUUGUGGCUCAGCGGUAGAGCGCUUGCCUAGCACGUGUGAGGCACUGGGUUCGAUCCUCAGCACCA
rnacentral:tRNA from 1 species